rnacentral:rRNA from 1 species
CCUACGGGGGGCAGCAGUGGGGAAUAUUGGGCAAUGGGCGCAAGCCUGACCCAGCAACGCCGCGUGAAGGAAGAAGGCUUUCGGGUUGUGAACUUCUUUUAAGAGGGAAGAGCAGAAGACGGUACCUCUUGAAUAAGCCACGGCUAACAACGUGCCAGCAGCCCCGGUAAUACGGAGGUGGCAAGCGGUGUCCGGAGUUACGGGGUGGAAAGGGCGUGCAGUCGGGAAUCAAAGUCAGCUGUGAAAUCCCGCGGCUCAACCGUGGAACUGCAUUUGAAACUGGUUUUCUUGAGUACCGGAGAGGUCACCGGAAUUCCUUGUGUAGCGGUGAAAUGCGUAGAUAUAAGGAAGAACACCAGUGGCGAAGGCGGAUGACUGGACGGCAACUGACGCUGAGGCGCGAAAGCGUGGGGAGCAAACAGGAUUAGAUACCCUUGUAGUC